CAGGGGCCUCGUGCCCGCCCCUCUUGGGGCCUCCGCCGCCUCACGAGGAGGGAGAGGAAGGGAGGACUGGAAAACCCGAGUUUGGAAUUAAGGAAACGUGCUACCUGGGGGACCGGAUCGGCAACACGCAAAAAGCCACUGACCUGUGAGAACAGUACCUGAAGACAAGUGCCUCAGGUCGUUUCAGGACAGAAACAGAUUCAGCAGAGAAGGAAGAGGCCCGAUCCCACGGACUGCUCGCAUCAGCUUGGAAUGAGCUUGCCUUCUGAAGGACAGCCGAGGACCAGGUCCUGCUGCAGCAGAGGAGCCAAGCAGAACCUGUCUGGCUCAAGCCGUGACGGAGCCAGAUCCAGAGAAAACACCAGAGCCAGAGAGCUAGGAAGGCCUGAUUCUCCGGGGGAGCUCGGCGUUCAGGCGGGCCUCCGGCCGUUCUGGAGAAGAUUGCCUUCGGAUUUCCUGACUUGGGAGUCAGCAGUGGAGCUUGCUGAAAGUUUCCCCAGGUCCAAGGUGGAGCACUCCCAAGACCGUGUCUACGUCGCGGGGGAACCACACCAACCCUCAUCCGGGUGACUAAGAGUUCUCAAGUCUUCGCGCGAGGAGAUAUUCAAGUAACUGAAUAAUGGAAAAAGAAGAAACUGUACUUCAGCAGCCCCCAGUCUAAGACAUUUCAAGCCGCACACGGGAUGGUUUGAGCAGGGCGAACACGGCAUUGGAACUUGGCUGCGUCUCACACCCCGGAGCAAGGAGAAACCCGUGGACGAAAGGAUACCCUUCUUCGCCACCAGCAGGUAACCACCCCAGCAGGCCGCCCUCAGCCUGUCCUCCGCUGGCCAGGAAAUUCCCGCGCUGCUCAGCCUCUCACAGAGACCUCUCCGGAGACUCACCAACUGCUGAAAGGUUCGUUUCUCACCGUGAGCCCGCCCGGCGGGGGCCGGCAAACGAGCCGCCCAAAGGUACAGCCAAGUGAGGCGGAGGGCGGGCCCGGCCUCAGAGCCAGCCGGCCUUCUGCUCUGCUGCCCUCCGCUCUCCGUCCCCGCCCGCGGCCCGCCCAGUCCUGGACGCUGGAAGUGUGAGGACUGCCCGUUUUCCAGGCUGCUGUAGACACUGUGGACCACCCCCUUCUCCUCCACGCACUA